rnacentral:rRNA from 1 species
UUUCCUACGGGACGCAGCAGUGGGGGAUAUUGCACAAUGGGGGGAACCCUGAUGCAGCGACGCCGCGUGGGUGAAGAAGCGCCUCGGCGCGUAAAGCCCUGUCAGCAGGGAAGAAAAUGACGGUACCUGAAGAAGAAGCCCCGGCUAACUACGUGCCAGCAGCCGCGGUAAUACGUAGGGGGCAAGCGUUAUCCGGAUUUACUGGGUGUAAAGGGUGCGUAGGCGGUCGGAUAAGUUAGAGGUGAAAUCCCGAGGCUCAACUUCGGAAUUGCCUCUGAUACUGUUCGGCUAGAGAGUAGUUGCGG